UGGGGAAUCUUCCGCAAUGGACGAAAGUCUGACGGAGCAACGCCGCGUGAGUGAAGAAGGUUUUCGGAUCGUAAAAACUCUGUCUUUUUGGGGGCGAACGUGAGUAUGGUGAACAAUCAUAGUCAGUGACGGUACCAAAGGAGGAAGCCACGGCUAACUACGUGCCAGCAGCCGCGGUAAUACGUAGGUGGCAAGCGUUGUCCGGAAUUAUUGGGCGUAAAGAGCGCGUAGGCGGGAUAGUCAGUCUGUUGUAAAGUGCGGGGCUCAACCCCGUGAUCGCAAUGGAAACAGCUAUUCUUGAGUGCAGGAGAGGAAAGUGGAAUUCCCAGUGUAGCGGUGAAAUGCGUAGAUAUUGGGAGGAACACCAGUGGCGAAGGCGACUUUCUGGACUGUGUCUGACGCUGAGGCGCGAAAGCCAGGGGAGCGAACGGGAUUAGAUACCCCCGGUAGUCCUGGCCGUAAACGAUGGGUACUAGGUGUGGGGAGGUAUCGACCCCCUUCCGUGCCGGAGUUAACGCAAUAAGUACCCCGCCUGGGGAGUACGGUCGCAAGACUGAAACUCAAAUGAAUUGAC
rnacentral:rRNA from 1 species